rnacentral:rRNA from 1 species
UACGUAGGGGGCAAGCGUUGUCCGGAAUUAUUGGGCGUAAAGAGCGCGUAGGCGGUCCGAUAAGUCGACUGUGAAAGUCUAGGGCUCAACCCUGGAAAGCCGGUCGAUACUGUCGGACUAGAGUCCGGAAGAGGCAAGUGGAAUUCCCGGUGUAGCGGUGAAAUGCGCAGAUAUCAGGAGGAACACCAAUAGCGAAGGCAGCUCGCUGGGACGUUACUGACACUGAGGCGCGAAAGCGUGGGGAGCGAACAGG